UUACGGCCAUAUCACGAUGAAACAUCGAUUCUCGUUCGAUCACCAAAGUUAAGCAACGUCAAGCCUGGUCAGUACCUAGAUGGUUGACCGCUUGGCUAACCAGGCACUGUAAG